GGAUUUAGAAUGAUCUCGUUCGGCGCGCGUGAUUUUCACGUUGGAUGUUUGGGUAUUAGGUUUACUUCAACACGACGCAGGAAUGAGGAUAAAGAAAGCCGUGAAUGAUGUGGUUAAAAAAAAAGGGUAAAUUGAGACAUCAAAUACGAUGGCGUUUAAGUUGAAAUUCAAUGCAUUUUAUUUCUAGUAAAAAGAUAAAAAUACUUUUAUAAUAAUAUUUAUUAUUUUGUAAGAAAAUAUAUUUUUAAUAAUAGAAGUACAAAUAUAAGAUUCAAUAUAUAAUUUAACAUAAGUAAUGUAUAUAUACCUAGAUUAUGAUACAACCGAAAAAAAUAAUGUUCAUAAAAAAUUAUAUAAAAAUCAAAUAAAUCUGAAAUAAUAAAUUUUAAAUAUAGUCUUAUAUUUAAGACUGAAUUUUUAUUUUUUUAUACAUAAUGCAAAUAUUUUGUAAAGAAAACGAAAUAUAUUAGUACCUUACGACUGACUAAAGGAUAUGUUCAAGUCCCUCCACUGCUAGAGCCAUAGCAUGCAGCUGUUCCUCGAAUGUUUUUACCAUCCUGUAAUGGAGGAGGAUUCUCUUUAAAAAAAGUAUAAACCUCUUUGAAAAUUGCUAAUGCCGAAUUUGGUGGUUGGUGGAUAGGGGGGGAGGGGGUGUUAGAUUCGUGUGAAAGAGUAUGGGAACAUGAAGUGUGGCAAGGUUUCUAAUUAUCCAGUGUGAAAGAUAGUUUCUAUAUCCAACAUAGACAUUCCAGAUAAAUUACCUUUAUUGUUUGAGGGUUCAUCAGAUGCUCAAAGAAUAAGAUUUUGAAGAUUUC
rnacentral:lncRNA from 1 species